UACGUAGGGGGCAAGCGUUGUCCGGAUUUAUUGGGCGUAAAGAGCGUGUAGGCGGCCGUACAGGUCAGCUGUGAAAACUCGAGGCUCAACCUCGAGACGUCGGUUGAAACCGUACGGCUAGAGUCCGGAAGAGGAGAGUGGAAUUCCUGGUGUAGCGGUGAAAUGCGCAGAUAUCAGGAAGAACACCUAUGGCGAAGGCAGCUCUCUGGGACGGUACUGACGCUGAGACGCGAAAGCGUGGGGAGCGAACAGG
rnacentral:rRNA from 1 species